UCUGCAUUGAUUCCUGGUCCAUCAAGCCUUGGAUUUUAACAUUUUUUUUCUCUUGUGUUCAGAUCCUUCCAUGGCCUCAUCCCUGUCUUUAUCUCUAAAUUCCUAAGCUCACCAAGAACUCUGUGUUCCUCUUUAGAAUCUCACUGUCAUUCCCCGAUGAUGAUGACCUUGCCUUGAGCUGGAGCUCCUGGACUAUCACAAUUCUCUUCCAAUGGAUUUAUAUGGACAUCAGGCUUUCCUCUUUCAUCGCAUUUGCCUGGACUGUUCAGGGUUUUGCAGAUAUUAUACUAUAACCAGACUAUUACCUUGUACAAAAGGUUUUUUGCGCUCUCCAGGAACCUGAACUGCAAAGAGAACACAGAAAACAACCAACUUCAUCUUCAAAAUAAAGAACAAAGUAAUAAGGAUGAUGGUUGCAGUCAGGAAAGUGACAACUUUCCACCAAUCCCCCCUACCUGGUGCUGUAUGAAAGGAUGCCAUAACUGUGUAUGGAUUUCGUACGCAGAGGAAAUGACACAGUACUACCAGAACGGAGAUCAAAAAGCUCUCGAGGAUAUUGAUAAAUAUGUUGAUGAUGAGAAUCUUAAAGCUUUCAUUAAAAUGGAAAUAAAAUUAAGGCAAAAGAAAUAA